rnacentral:rRNA from 1 species
AGAUCAGAAUGUUGGUCGUGCCUUGGUACGUACUGGCAUUAUUGGUUCCUACCUUCUGAAGAACCGCGAUGUCAUUAAUUUGGUGUCGUGGGGAAUCAGGACUGUUACUUUGAAAAAAUUAGAGUGUUUAAAGCAGGCUUACGCUUGAAUACAUUAGCAUGGAAUAAUGAAAUAGGACGUUUGAUUCUAUUUUGUUGGUUUCUAGGAUUGACGUA